ensembl:lncRNA
GGACAAAGCCAGUGCCUGCCCACAAGCGGGUGGGCCUUGUCUGGAGGAGGCUGUAGUUUCAGGAAGUCUUUAGGAGUAUGUGCUGAUGGGACUGUGUCUCUGCCCAGCUGUUUGGUCUGAGGCAUCCUGGUGAGGACACCUCCAGGAUGUCAGGUGGGGCCAAGUGUGGCCAGGUGUUGCGGCUAAUGAGCUAACAACGCCUCCAGCACCAGCUUCUAGAACGAGCUCCUAAAUAUGGCUCCCGCUGCCGCGCCCUCUCACCUCUUGUCUCUCCGGGAGACACUCCUAGAAGAAGCAGUGGUCAUGUAUGGAUGUGAGAGUUGGACUAUAAAGAAAGCUGAGCACUGAAGAAUUGACGCUUUUGAACUGUGGUGUUGGAGAAGACUCUUGAGAGUCCCUUGGGCUGCAAGGAGAUCCAAUUAGUCCAUCCUAAGGGAAAUCAGUCCUGAAUAUUCAUUGGAAGGACUCAUGCUGAAGCUGAAACUCCAAUAUUCUGGCCACCUGAUGUGAAGAACUGACUCAUUGGAAAAGAUCCUGAUGCUAGGAAAGAUUGAAGGCAGAAGGGGAUGACAGAAGAUGAGAUGGUUGGAUAGAAUCACCAACUUGGUGGACCUGUGUUUGAGCAAGCUCCAGGAGUUGGUGAUGGACUGUGCUGCAGUCCAUGGGGUCGCAAAGAGUCAGACACGACUGAGAGACUGAACUGAACUGAUAAGUGUAGUAAUUUGUACUCAUGUCUCAUACUACCCUCUACACAAACACACACACAUGAAUAUAUUAUUCUUGAGUUCUUUUCUUAGUAUUAUCUUUCUUACAGCUAACAACAUGACAGAUGUUUGAGGAAGGAUCUAUGGAUUAUUGCUUUUGUCUAAUGUCUUUAGUGAUUCCUCGUCCAUUUCCCACUGGAAGGUCCACUUUACAUUUUAAACGUGAGCAUGAAGCCUGCCCAGGUUUGCUCCUCUAGCUUUCAUAUGACCAGACUAUUAGGCACAUUUUACUUUCCCCAGUUAUUCUAGCUUGGUAUACUCUUUCACUUCUGAGGCUGUAAUUUAUGAUUUCCAAGUUCGAGUUGCUGAUGCUGAAAUGAGUCAUGCUGAAAUGAGCCACCAAGGCACUGAACCAAUGCUGAGACUUAGUCUGCUAACCUCACAGGAUUGGUCCUCCCUGGCUGAGAAAGUUUAAUUGGGUCAGCCAAUUACAAAAAUGUAGUAUUUCAUUAGUGGUUCAGAUGGUAAAGAAUCUGCCAGUAAUGCAGGAGACCCAGGUUUAAUCCCUGGGUCGGGAAGAUACCCUGGAGGGGGACAUGGCAACCCACUCCAGUAUUUCUUGCCUGGAGAAUCCCACGGACAGAGGAGGCUGGCAGGAGACAGCCCAUGGCAUUGCAAAGACUUGGACACAAUUGAAGCGACUUAGCAUGCACAGCAUUUCAUUCCUUUCUCAUGGUAAUUUCUAUUUUGAAAAAGAAAGUGAAACUGAAAAUGUUAGUCUCUCAGUCGUGUUCAACUCUUAGGGACCUUGGUAUACUCUUUCACUUCUGAGGCUGUAAUUUAUGAUUUCAUAAAUUAUGAUAAGGGCUGUAGCCCACCAGGCUUCUCUGUCCAUGGAGUUCUCCAGGCAAGAAUACUGGAAUGGGUUGCCAUUUCCUUCUCCAGGGGAUCUCCCCAGCCCAGGGAUUGAAGCUGGGUUUCUGCAUUGCAGUUAGACUCUUUACCAGUGAGCCAUCAAGGAAGCCCAGUGCUUAUUUUGAGCACGUACAAAUGACAACUUUGAGGCUGACUCAGUAAUAUUUUAUCUAGAAGACAUUUAAAAAAUUUUAUUUAAUUGAAAUAUAGUUGAUUUACAAUGUUGUGUUAAUUUCUACUAUACACUAAAGGGAUUCAGUUAUGGCCUUAGGAUUUUAAGUUCCAUAACAGGGAAGGAAUUUAACUUCACUAGCUGUUGGAAAUUGUAUAAUCAUAGCUAUACAUUUACCUGAGUAACAUAAAUAUUUUACUGCUACGAUGAAUCAUCUCCUUUCAUAAAUAUCUCAUAAAAUAAGAAUGGUAAUUUUCUUUUAAUUCUAGGAAAGAGCUUGUUUCAGGAAUACACCACAUUAAUCUUCAUGUUUGUAUGAGCUCUGAUCCUUAAUUUACUAACCAGUGUUGUUUCAAAUGCUGGAUGUGAGCUUACCUAAUCUUACAUCAGAAUCUAUUAACUGUGAAGAAUAUCAGGGUCCCCCUUACUGUGUCUCUUUUAGGAAAUGACUUUUUCCUAUUGGGCCUAUCUUCAAAGAAAGAGUAAGGACAUUCUCUCCAGAUCCCGACCUGAAUUUUUAAAUGCAUGCUUUCAUCUCUUUCUAGCAUCUUGCCAAUAGCAAAAUAUCUCCUCUGCUCAAAUUCGGCACCAUGGUUCCCCUCUUAACUACUGUGGUC